rnacentral:rRNA from 1 species
CCUACGGGUGGCUGCAGUGGGGAAUUUUGGACAAUGGGGGCAACCCUGAUCCAGCCAUGCCGCGUGCGGGAAGAAGGCCUUCGGGUUGUAAACCGCUUUUGUCAGGGACGAAACGGCUGAGGUUAAUACCUUCGGCUAAUGACGGUACCUGAAGAAUAAGCACCGGCUAACUACGUGCCAGCAGCCGCGGUAAUACGUAGGGUGCAAGCGUUAAUCGGAAUUACUGGGCGUAAAGCGUGCGCAGGCGGCUUUGCAAGACAGAUGUGAAAUCCCCG